AUACGGAGGGCGCAAGCGUUGCCCGGAAUCACUGGGUGUAAAGGGUGCGUAGUCGGGGCUGUAAGUCAGAGGUGAAAGCCCUCGGCUCAACCGGGGAAUUGCCUCUGAUACUGCAGCUCUUGAGUCCCGGAGAGGCCGCUGGAAUUCCUGGUGUAGCGGUGAAAUGCGUAGAUAUCAGGAGGAACACCGGAGGCGAAGGCGGGCGGCUGGACGGGGACUGACGCUGAGGCACGAAAGCGUGGGGAGCAAACAGGAUUAGAAACCCCAGUAGUCC
rnacentral:rRNA from 1 species